rnacentral:rRNA from 1 species
GAAUGGGGGGGCUGCUACACAUGCAGUCGAACGGCAGCGCGGGCUUCGGCCUGGCGGCGAGUGGCGGACGGGUGAGGAAUGCAUAGGAAUCUGCCCGGUUGUGGGGGAUAACGUAGGGAAACUUACGCUAAUACCGCAUACGACCUUCGGGUGAAAGUGGGGGACCUUCGGGCCUCACGCGAUCGGAUGAGCCUAUGCCCGAUUAGCUAGUUGGCGGGGUAAGAGCCCACCAAGGCGACGAUCGGUAGCUGGUCUGAGAGGAUGAUCAGCCACACUGGGACUGAGACACGGCCCAGACUCCUACGGGAGGCACCAGUGGGGAAUAUUGGACAAUGGGCGCAAGCCUGAUCCAGCAAUGCCGCGUGUGUGAAGAAGGCCUUCGGGUUGUAAAGCACUUUUGUUCGGGAAGAAAUCCGUGAGGUUAAUACCCUUACGGGAUGACGGUACCGAAAGAAUAAGCACCGGCUAACUUCGUGCCAGCAGCCGCGGUAAUACGAAGGGUGCAAGCGUUAAUCGGAAUUACUGGGCGUAAAGCGUGCGUAGGCGGUUUGUUAAGUCAGAUGUGAAAUCCCCGGGCUCAACCUGGGAACUGCAUUUGAUACUGGCAGGCUAGAGUACGGUAGAGGGUGGUGGAAUUCCCGGUGUAGCGGUGAAAUGCGUAGAGAUCGGGAGGAACAUCCGUGGGCGAAACGCGGCCACCUGGACCAGUACUGACGCUGAGGCACGAAAGCGUGGGGAGCAAACAGGAUUAGAUACCCUGCUAGUCCACGCCGCUAAACGAUGCGAACUGCACGUUGGUCUCACUUUGGAGAUCAGUGUCGAAGCUAACGCGUUAAGCUUCGCCGCCUAGGGGAGUUACCGGUCGCAGACUGAAACUCAAAGGAAUUGACCGGGGCCCGCACAGCGGCUCGGAGUAUGCUGCUUAACUUCGAUGCUAACGUCGCAGAACCUACCUAGACCUUGACAUGGUCCGAACCCUGCUCAGAAUGCUGGGUGCUCCAGGAAUCCGAUCACAGUGCUGACAUGCUGUAGCUCACCUCGUCUGGAACUGUAGGAUUAGUCCUGCACCAGAGGCAAGCC